CUCAACCGCUGGAGCAUUGGAGAAGUCCACGGAGGCCUUUAAACUCUUCUUUUUCACUGAUGUGCGUCUCCAGCCCAGUUCAGCCCAAGAUUCUUUCUCUUCCUGGUGCUCCAAGUCCUGAUUCCUACAGUGGGCCCCCUGCCUCCAGUUGGUCUUGUGGACAGAGCUUCUGGCAGUAAACCGAGCAUCCCUGCCCUGGGGGCCUCGCCCAGCGCAUGGGCAGCACUAGGUGGGCAGGUGUGUGCCCCAGCAGGGCCCGGCUUCAGAAAACAUCUGCGAGAGUAAAUGACUGAGAUGAAAGAUCUUGGCAAAGAGCUAUUUUUCUUUGCUUGGCUUAAAGGGGGACAGAUGAAGACUUCAGCCUCACCCUCGCCCUCCCCAGCGGGACUCCCUCCCCCACCUCGCAGGGAGAGGAGAAAUGGGAUCUGAAUGAAGACAGACCAGAAGGUGGCCCAGCCGGCCCCAAGUCCCCAGGCAGGGGAGGUUGUUUUUCCAGUG